GCUAGUCACGGCUUUUGCAAGAUCUGUGAGGCCAGCAUUGGAUCAUGUAGGAGUUUGUAAGAUGGCUCUAGGACCCAGAGUGAUUUGCCAUUCACGCUGUGUAUAGACUUUACAGAAGGUCUGGAACCCAGGAGUGACUAACUCAAAUAUGAAAAUAGAAUGCCCUUUUGUACAACAGCAGCAUCUGCAGCAGCACGUCACACUUCCAAAACAUCUGCAGUGUCCUCAUUAUGUAUCCAAGGCGGGCAUUGAAACGGUGACCCUCCUGUAUCAAUCUCCUGAGGGCUGGGAAUACAGACAUAGGUCACCAUGAUGGGCCCUCACAAGAACGCUUGCUCUUGUGGAACCAGACUAGCAACCAGAAGAGUGGGCA